GAUGAACGCUGGCGGCGUGCCUAACACAUGCAAGUCGAACGGAGAUUACGGACGGAAGUUUUCGGAUGGAAGACUGUAAUUCUUAGUGGCGGACGGGUGAGUAACGCGUGGGCAACCUGCCCUAUACAGGGGGAUAGCAGCUGGAAACGGCUGGUAAGACCGCAUAAGUCGGCGAGACCGCAUGGUUUUGCCGGGAAAUGAGCAAUCAGGUAUAGGAUGGGCCCGCGUCCGAUUAGCCAGUUGGCAGGGUAAAAGCCUACCAAAGCAACGAUCGGUAGCCGGACUGAGAGGUCGGACGGCCACAUUGGGACUGAGACACGGCCCAAACUCCUACGGGAGGCAGCAGUGGGGGAUAUUGCACAAUGGAGGAAACUCUGAUACAGCGACGCCGCGUGAGUGAAGAAGUAUUUCGGUAUGUAAAGCUCUAUCAGCAGGGAAGAUGAUGACGGUACCUGACGAAGAAGCCCCGGCUAACUACGUG
rnacentral:rRNA from 1 species